rnacentral:sRNA from 1 species
GUCGCAGGUUCGAAUCCUGCACGACCCACCAAUUUCAGCAUUUAACUCAGAUGCUGAACGUGAAGGAUAACGUUGCGACAGCAACGGCCCGAAGGGCGAGGCGAAGUCGAGUCAUCCUGCACGACCCACCA